rnacentral:rRNA from 1 species
CAGCAGCCGCGGGAAUACGAAGGGGGCUAGCGUUGCUCGGAAUGACUGGGCGUAAAGGGCGCGUAGGCGGUUCGUACAGUUGGAUGUGAAAUUCCUGGGCUUAACCUGGGGGCUGCAUUCAAUACGUGCGGGCUUGAGUGUGGAAGAGGGUUGUGGAAUUCCCAGUGUAGAGGUGAAAUUCGUAGAUAUUGGGAAGAACACCGGUGGCGAAGGCGGCUCACUGGACCAUUACUGACGCUGAGGCGCGAAAGCUAGGGGAGCAAACAGGAUUAGAUACCCCCGUAGUCCCUGUCUCUUAUAC